AGAGUUUGAUCCUGGCUCAGGAUGAACGCUGGCGGCGUGCUUAACACAUGCAAGUCGAACGGAAAGGCCCUUGCUUGCAGGGGUACUCGAGUGGCGAACGGGUGAGUAACACGUGGGUGAUCUGCCCUGCACUUCGGGAUAAGCCUGGGAAACUGGGUCUAAUACCGGAUAGGACGAUGGUUUGGAUGCCAUUGUGGAAAGUUUUUCGGUGUGGGAUGAGCUCGCGGCCUAUCAGCUUGUUGGUGGGGUAAUGGCCUACCAAGGCGUCGACGGGUAGCCGGCCUGAGAGGGUGUACGGCCACAUUGGGACUGAGAUACGGCCCAGACUCCUACGGGAGGCAGCAGUGGGGAAUAUUGCACAAUGGGCGCAAGCCUGAUGCAGCGACGCCGCGUGGGGGAUGACGGCCUUCGGGUUGUAAACUCCUUUCGUCAGGGACGAAGCGAAAGUGACGGUACCUGGAUAAGAAGCACCGGCUAACUACGUGCCAGCAGCCGCGGUAAUACGUAGGGUGCGAGCGUUGUCCGGAAUUACUGGGCGUAAAGAGCUCGUAGGUGGUUUGUCGCGUCGUUUGUGGGAUACCGCAGCUUAACUGCGGGGUUGCAGGCGAUACGGGCAUAACUUGAGUGCUGUAGGGGAGACUGGAAUUCCUGGUGUAGCGGUGGAAUGCGCAGAUAUCAGGAGGAACACCGAUGGCGAAGGCAGGUCUCUGGGCAGUAACUGACGCUGAGGAGCGAAAGCAUGGGUAGCGAACAGGAUUAGAUACCCUGGUAGUCAAGGGCGAAUUCGUUUAA
rnacentral:rRNA from 1 species